rnacentral:rRNA from 1 species
UACGUAGGGUGCAAGCGUUGUCCGGAAUUAUUGGGCGUAAAGAGCUUGUAGGCGGUUUGUCGCGUCUGCUGUGAAAUUUCGGGGCUCAACCCCGAACUUGCAGUGGGUACGGGCAGACUAGAGUGUGGUAGGGGAGACUGGAAUUCCUGGUGUAGCGGUGAAAUGCGCAGGUAUCAGGAGGAACACCGAUGGCGAAGGCAGGUCUCUGGGCCAUAACUGACGCUGAGAAGCGAAAGCAUGGGGAGCGAACAGG